rnacentral:rRNA from 1 species
UACGGGGGGGGCAAGCGUUGUUCGGAAUUACUGGGCGUAAAGGGCUCGUAGGCGGCCAACUAAGUCAGACGUGAAAUCCCUCGGCUUAACCGGGGAACUGCGUCUGAUACUGGAUGGCUUGAGUUUGGGAGAGGGAUGCGGAAUUCCAGGUGUAGCGGUGAAAUGCGUAGAUAUCUGGAGGAACACCGGUGGCGAAGGCGGCAUCCUGGACCGGCAUUGACGCUGAGUGAGCGAAAGCCAGGGGAGCAAACGGG